AAUCUCAUGGUCUAAUGGCAAAGACACCAUAUGCUGAGCAUUAUGGAAAUACCGGUUCGAUUCCGGUUGGGAUUG